rnacentral:lncRNA from 1 species
UGAUUCCUCUGGUCCAGUGGCCACAUUAUCUUCUUCUGUAUGCUUACUUUCUACUGGUAGUUUUUUCUCCAUUUCUAAAUCUUCAACAGUUUCAUCUCUAACUGGUUCUGUGGCUUCAUGUACUUCCUCAGGAAGGUCUUCAACAGCUGUAUCUUGAGUCUCAGUCUCUUUCUCGUAUUCUGGUUCUGUGUAGUGUUCAACAGCAUCUUCUAAUGUUAGCUCAGAGUCACCUGGAGCUUCUGGAUCACUUACUGUGUUUUCCAAAUCCAUAUCAUAUUCAUAAGAAACUGGAACUUCGUAUGUUUCAGGUUCUGUUGCUCCAGGAUCAUCUGCUACAAAAUCAGCAUCUUUCUGAAAUGAGUCUGGUGUCUCAUAAUCCUCUGUCAUUUCAUUCUCUAAUUCUCUAAGCGUGUCAUCUGUUGCAGGAGUUUCAAAUGUUUCUGCAUGUAUUUCUUCCUUCUCUUGCCACUGGUCACUUAUGCUUUCAUCUACAUCUUCAUGUCCCUCUCCAGGCUGCGAAUGGAGAGCAUCAUGAAGAACAGGCUGAAUUUCCUCUUCCAAUUCUACAUCAACAUUCUUGUGCUCUGAUUUGGUGAAUGACUGCUCAGCAGGCUGAAUGGUCUCCUCAGAUACUGGUGAUGCUGGCUGUUCUGGGACAGAUCUUUCUUUUAGGCCUAGCAACACUUUAGCGUCUUCCACAUCAAAAUCUCCAUCUCCAUCAGCAUCAUAUAUUCCAAGUUUGCCUAGGACUUCUUCAUAAUCUACAAGUUCAAACCAGACAACUGCUACUGACGUCCAAACUCCCAGCAAAGCAAUUACCAUAAACCAGGUGAAAAACGAGCUUCCAGAGAGGCCUUCUUUCUUUCCAUUCCUGUUUCCUCCAUGCUUACUCUCUCGCUUAGAGCCGGGGCCGGGAGCGCCGCCGGUGCCCUUGGAGCCCUUGCGGGAGGCCAUGGCGCCUCCUGUCAGGUAACGCGGGGCGGGGCGGGGCUAGACCGGGAAUGAGUCAGGAACCGCCGCCGUCCGAGCGCUGCGUGCGGGAGCGCCGGCAGCCACCGCAGCCAAGCGCCGGGCACGCCCCCUCCCCUCCCGCCCGCAGCCUCCAGCCAGUGGCGGAGCGCACAGGGCGAAGGGGCGUGACCUCCCUCUGCGCCGAUUGGCUGCAGAGCGGAGGGGGCGGGCGGAGCGGCUGCGUGAGGGCUGCGCGUGUCCGCCACGCUCCCCAUCGCCGGCGGCUUUGAACGUGGCAACAUGGAAGCGG